rnacentral:rRNA from 1 species
CAAUAGCGUAUAUUAAAGUUGUUGCGGUUAAAAAGCUCGUAGUUGGAUUUCUGCUGAGAACGACCGGUCCGCCCUUUGGGUGUGUAUCUGGCUCUUUCUUGGCAUCUUCUUGGUGAACGUUGCUGCACUUGACUGUGUGGAGCGCUACCCAGGACUUUUACUUUGAGGAAAUUAGAGUGUUUCAAGCAGGCAUACGCCUUGAAUACAUUAGCAUGGAAUAAUAAGAUAGGACCUCGGUUCUAUUUUGCUGGUUUCUAGAGCUGAGGUAAUGAUUAAUAGGGAUAGUUGGGGGCAUUCGUAUUUAACUGUCAGAGGUGAAAUUCUUGGAUUUGUUAAAGACGGACUACUGCGAAANCANNNGCCAAGGAUGUUUUCAUNGA